ACUCCUACGGGAGGCAGCAGUAGGGAAUCUUCCACAAUGGGCGGCAAGCCUGAUGGAGCAACACCGCGUGAGUGAAGAAGGGUUUCGGCUCGUAAAGCUCUGUUGUUAAAGAAGAACACGUAUGAGAGUAACUGUUCAUACGUUGACGGUAUUUAACCAGAAAGUCACGGCUAACUACGUGCCAGCAGCCGCGGUAAUACGUAGGUGGCAAGCGUUAUCCGGAUUUAUUGGGCGUAAAGAGAGUGCAGGCGGUUUUCUAAGUCUGAUGUGAAAGCCUUCGGCUUAACCGGAGAAGUGCAUCGGAAACUGGAUAACUUGAGUGCAGAAGAGGUAGUGGAACUCCAUGUGUAGCGGUGGAAUGCGUAGAUAUAUGGAAGAACACCAGUGGCGAAGGCGGCUACCUGGUCUGCAACUGACGCUGAGACUCGAAAGCAUGGGU
rnacentral:rRNA from 1 species